rnacentral:rRNA from 1 species
AACGAACGCUGGCGGCAUGCCUAACACAUGCAAGUCGAACGAGACCUUCGGGUCUAGUGGCGCACGGGUGCGUAACACGUGGGAACCUGCCCUUAUGUUCGGAAUAACUCUCCGAAAGGGGUGCUAAUACAGGAUAAUGUCUUCGGAUAAAAGAUUUAUCGCCCUUGGAUGGGCCCGCGUUGGAUUAGCUGGUUGGUAGGGUAAAAGCCUAUCAAGGCGACGCUCCAUAGCUGGUCUGAGAGAAUGAUCAGCCACACUGGGAGUGGGACACGGCCCAGACUACUACGGGAUGCAGCAGUGGGGAAUAUUGGACAAUGGGCGAAAGCCUGAUCCAGCAAUGCCGCGUGAGUGAUGAAGGCCUUAGGGAUGUAAAGCUCUUUUACCCGGGAUGAUAAUGACAGUACCGGGAGAAUAAGCUCCGGCUAACUCCGUG